rnacentral:lncRNA from 1 species
GAGUUAAUAAUUUCAUAGUUUUGGAGCACUAACUCGACACAAAAGGAAGAUACAAAUUACAACCAAAAGGCAGGUUCGGAAGGUUCAACAAAAGUAACCUGCUAUCAAGCUAUAAGCUUGAAAAGGAUAAAUAAUGAGAGGGUGAGUUCAACAACUCAGUGAGUAGAUAACAUUCAAUAUACACAUACGAGGUAAUAUAACAAUGAGAAAUAUAUAUACAAGUAUGGCUUUAGUUCUUAUACGAAGGUUUAUCAAAUAGGCCAUAACAAGAAUAUCAUAUGGUAGAACUCGUCAGAAAAUAAAAAUGCAAUGAGCAUGAGGCUCCGUACUGUUGGAUGAUCAGUCCACACAGGUUGGUGACUCCCCCGACCAACUAGGGUUCAGAUACGAUGUGCACAAAGACUAACACUACCCUGUUAGCAUGGGUAUUCUGACUGACAUACCAUAGGUUCAUAAUCAUAAUCAAACAAACAUAUUCAUAUCUCAAAGCUCAACUCAUGACAUCCAUCAAAUGAGGAGCUAUCAAUUCAGAAGUCAAAUCAUAUUGGUUCAUAUCAAGAAAUCAGAUUCAAUAAUUGAUCAUGCUUUAUCAUAUCAAGGAUAAUAAUCAGCAUAUAUAUUAUCAAGAAGCAUGAUCCAAUUCAUAUUAACAAAUCAAAUAUUUAUAAUAUUUCUCAUGCAUAUGGAAAAUUAUCCACUCACCUGACUCAAAAGCAAACAACACACACAAGCUGAAACCGAAGGAAAUUCUACUGACGUCCUGCCGGUAGAAUAUCAGGAUUAUCUGAAUACAAAGGAGACAUAUUCAAAAACGACUCGAAAGAACAUUUAACCUAUUUAAUACACUUAACUAAGGGUGUAUUCCGUAACCCUAUAUGUUUUUGAACUAACUAGUCAAUUUUCUUAAAAACCCAAAAUCUAACGGUUUUCCCGAAAUCUAAUCCAUAAUAAAAACAACUAAUAAAAUUGGUAAUAAUUCACUAAAUAACCCUUAAUUAUUCAUCAAACUAAUCUGCAAAAGCUAAUAUUACAGCUAGGGACUAAUCUGGAAUUUAUCAUAUUUUUAGGGCCAAAUUGUAACUUUUGUCAAAUGGAGGACCAAACUAAAAUUUGUCAUAAAUCCAUGAAUAUACUGAAAUUCUGACCUUAAUUAAUCCUCAAUUCUGUCCAGGAUGUAUCAUUAUGCUUCAGGGAUCAUUCUGGAAUUUUACUAAAUUUUUAGGGUCAAAUCGUACUUUUUGUCAAAUUGGAGGACUAAUUGAAAGUGUUAAAUUCUUAUCUAUACAGUAAUUAUGUCCAUAAUUCAUAUGCUAUUGUCAGAAUCUCGGAAUAUGCUCCAGGACCAAUUUAAUUUCCAAAGUUCGGGGACUAAACUGAAUUUCGAAAUUGAGGGACCAAAUUGAAUUUUCGUCAUCUUCAACCUCCAGUCCAGAUUUUAACAGAAACCCCACUGUUCCCCGAUUUCUAACCAUUCACCAUUUACACAAUUCUAUAACUCAAAAUCAUCAUAAUCUCCAUAAUCAACUAAAUCAUCAAUAAACACAACAAUCAACCCCUAACCUUCAAUUUAAUUCAUCAAUUAAAUCAAACAACAAAUUCUCAAAACCCUAACAUUCAUAAAAACUGAAAUUAAAGCUUAAUUAACAUAUUAUACACAUUAAACAACCUAAAUCUUACCUUUUCACUUAUUUCCUCCAAUCUCUUCCUUUUUCCCUUAUUUUCCCCUUUCUCUUCUCUCUUUCCUUCUCACUGCCGAUCUCUCCUCUCAAAUCAGAUUUUUUUUUUUUACUUCCUAUUUAUAUUUAUCAAUAUUUCCAAUUACAUAACCCUUAUUUAAUUUAUUCCAAUCUAAGCCUCAAGGGCUUUAGUUCCUAUCCUUAAUACAAAACAUCACAAUCUCCCCACCUUAUAAAAGUUUCGUCCUCGAAACUUAAUAGAAAAGAUUGAGUACUUACCGAGAUUAUCGAAAAGAUGAGGAUACUCCUCACGCAUCUUAUCCUCGAGCUCCCAUGUCGCUUCCUCACGUGAAUGGCCUUUCCAUUUCACUUUCACUGAAGCUAUGUCCUUCGACCUAAGCUUCCUCACUUGUCGGUCGACUAUAGCUUCCGGUUGCACCUCAUAAACCAUAUCAUCCCUCAAGUCAAUAGGAUGAACCUCUAACACAUGCGAUGGAUCUGACAUAUAUUUCCUUAACAUGGAAACAUGAAAUACCGGAUGAAUAGCAGACAAGUUUGGUGGUAAUGCUAACCGAUAAGCAACUGCCCCAACUCUCUCCAGAAUCUCAUACGGUCCAAUGAAUCGAGGACUCAACUUGCCUUUCUUCCCAAACCUGAAUACUCCUUUUGUAGGUGAUACUUUUAAGAACACACAAUCACCCACUGAAAACUCUAAGUCACGCCUUCUUCUAUCUGCGUAACUUUUAUGUCUACUCUGAGCUGUUUGAAGCUUCUUUCUAAUUACCUCAAUCUUCUCUGAGGUAAUCUGAAUCAACUCCGGUCCCAUUAGCCUCUUCUCACCAACCUCAAACCAACAAACCGGUGAUCUACACUUCCGACCAUACAAAGCCUCAUAAGGUGCCAUCUCUAUGCUAGCCUGAUAACUGUUGUUGUAAGCAAAUUCCACUAAUGGUAGGAACUUACUCCAACCAACUCCAAAAUCCAUAACACAAGCCCUUAACAUAUCCUCCAAGGUCUGAAUAGUCCUCUCAGACUGACCAUCUGUCUGAGGGUGAAAAGCUGUACUCAACUGCACCUUAGUACCCAUAGCUUCUUGAAAUUUCACCCAAAACCGCGAUGUAAACUGUGGACCUCUAUCAGACACUAUCGAGAUUGGCACUCCAUGCAACCGUACAAUCUCACUAAUAAACAAUUCCGCCAACUUUGCAUAUCCAUAAGUAAUCUUAACUGGCAGAAAAUGGGCUGAUUUGGUCAACCUGUCAACAAUCACCCAUAUCGAAUCAUAACCCUCCUGACUCCUAGGCAAUCCUGUCACAAAGUCCAUUGUGAUCCUUUCCCACUUCCAUUCUGGAAUCAACAAUGGUUGUAACAAUCCAGGAGGUUUCUGGUGUUCACCCUUUACCCUCUGACAGGUCAAACACCUAGAAACAAAAUCUGCUACAUCAGCCUUCAUCCUAUUCCACCAAUAACACACCUUAAGGUCUUUAUACAUCUUGGUGGAACCUGGAUGCAUUGUGUAAACUGUCUGAUGUGCCUCUAUCAUCAAUUCUCUCCUCAGAUCAUCAACAUCAGGUACACAAAGCCUAUCCCUAUAUCUCAGACAUCAUCAUCACCAAUCACAAAACUUGCAGCCUUACCCUGCUCAACCUCAUUUCUAAUCCUGAGUAGUGAAUCAUCUUUCUUCUGAGCUGCUUUUAUCUUAUCAAACAAAUCUGACUUAACCUGAAAAUGAGCAAUCAUUGCUCCAGCUUCACUAAGAUCAAAUCUGACUCCUUCAUCCACUAACUCAUGCAGCUCCCUAAUCAGAGGUCUUCGUACCUCCUGAAUAUGAGCUAAGCUCCCUGAUGAUUUUCUACUCAAAGCAUCGGCAACUACAUUUGCCCUACCCGGGUGGUACUGUAUGGUACAAUCAUAAUCCUUCAGUAGUUCCAUCCAUCUCCUCUGCCUCAGGUUUAGAUCCCUUUGCUGAAAGAUGUAUUUCAAACUCUUGUGAUCUGUAAAGAUCUCACAAGUUUCACCAUACAAGUAGUGCCUCCAAAUCUUCAAAGCAAAAAUUACAGCCGCCAUCUCUAAAUCAUGUGUAGGAUAGUUCUGUUCAUGCUUCUUCAGCUGCCGUGAAGCAUAGGCAAUAACCUUGCCAUGCUGCAUUAGAACACAUCCUAACCCCACUCUCGAAGCAUCACAAUACACUGUGUAACCACCAGAACCUGAUGGUACUGCUAGAAUAGGCGUGUAGUCAAUCUCUCCUUCAACUCUAAGAAACUUUUCUCACAAGCUUCAGACCACUGAAACUUAACAUUUUUCUGCGUUAACUUAGUCAAUGGUGCAGAAAUUCGAGAAAAGUUCUCCACAAACCUCCGAUAGUAGCCGGCCAAACCUAAGAAACUUCUAAUCUCUGUCGCCGAAGUAGGCCUAAGCCACUGCUUAACUGCUUCAAUCUUUUGAGGAUCAACCUCAAUCCCAUUCCUUGACACUACAUGCCCAAGAAAUGCUACACUCUCCAACCAAAACUCACUCUUUGAGAACUUGCCAUACAACUGAUGAUCUCGCAGAGUUUGAAGCAUCAUUCUCAAAUGUUGCUCAUGCUCCUCUCUAGACCUCGAAUACACCAAAAUAUCAUCAAUAAAAACUAUCACAAAUCGAUCAAUAAAUUGUCCAAACACUCUAUUCAUCAAGUCCAUAAAAGCUGCUGGUGCAUUCGUCAACCCAAAAGACAUCACUAAAAACUCAUAAUGACCAUACCGAGUUCUAAAAGCUGUCUUUGAAAUGUCCUCCUCCCUAAUCCUCAACUGAUGAUACCCAGAUCGAAGAUCGAUCUUAGAAAAGAAUUGAGCUCCUUGUAACUGAUCAAACAAAUCAUCUAUACGAGGGAGUGGGUAUCUAUUUCGAAUUGUCACCCGAUUCAAUUGCCUAUAAUCUAUACACAACCUCAAUGACCCAUCUUUCUUCUUCACAAACAACACCGGAGCUCCCCAAGGGGACACACUUGGUCGGAUGAACUUUUUAUCCAAUAAAUCCUGCAGCUGCUCCUUUAACUCCCUCAAUUCUGCUGGCGCCAUUGAUAUUGGUUCAGUGCCCGGAACCAAAUCAAUACAAAACUCAAUCUCCCUAUACGGAGGCAAUCCAGGUAAGUCAUCGGGAAAUACAUCGAUAAACUCUCUUACUAUAGGGACUUCCUCUAACUGGGGAACUUCUUUCUCUACAUCCACUAUAUAUGCUAGGUAGCACUGUACCCCUUUUCGGGCCAUUUUCCUCGAGAUAGCCGACAACAUAAUUGAUGGAGACCCAAUCUUAUCUCCUUGAAAUACCAACCCAACUUCUUGAUCUAGAUCAAACAUUAUUUUCUUACCCCAACAAUUUACCGAAGCCCUAUGCUUAGCCAACCAAUCCAUUCCUAAAAUCACAUCAAAAUCAACCAUAUCUAAGACAUUUAAGUCUCCCAUAAAGAUCUUAUCUCCAAUCUCUAUUUCACAAUCCAGAUACACAUACUUUACUAAUAUUAACUCAUCUAAGGGAGUGGAGACUGAAAUGGGGGAUUUUAACAAGGUUGGUUGUUUAUCUAACCUCAUGGCAAAAUAUGGGGACACAAACGAAUGAGUUGCACCCGUAUCAAACAAAACUUUUGCUUCAAAAGAGCAAACAGGAAGAAUACCUGAAACAACUGUGUUGGAUGCCUGAGCAUCCUGCUGAGUCAAGGCAAAAACUCUGGCAUGCCCCUGACCCUGCUGUAUCUGACCUCUAUCACCUGCACCCCGACCUCUUGACCACGGCCACCAAAACCUCUACCCCCAUGAGCCACAGACUGGCUCGUCGAUGGUGCCUGAAUAGGCUGGACUGAAGCAGAUAACCCCGAAGUGGACAACUGUCUCCUCGGGCACUCUCUAAUCUUAUGACCUAUCUGGCCACAACUAAAACAAGCCCCGGUCCUUCUAUAGCACUCUGCACUGUUAUGACCUCCUCCACAGUGCUGACACAAAGAACUAUCCCCAGAUGAAACAAAUGAACUACGAGGUGCAGUCUGAACUAAACUCUGGGCACCACUACUGCCACUCUGACUGCCUGAGCCACUAACUGAUGGUCUCUGUCUAAACCUCCUCUGAACCCAUGAGCCCUGACGGCCACUUCGUCCCCUAAACGGACCUGCACUUAAUCCAUGUUGCCUAAAAGACUGACCCUCUUCUCUAGGCCUCUUAGACUGGCCAGCAGUCAUGUCCUCUAUUUCACGCGUCUCUAGCAAUCUGGCGCUAUCAACAGCUGAGGAGUAGGAUGGAAACACUUGUGGCGCCAAAUACCAUAUACAGAGAGGAUUUGAGUCCUCUAAUGAAUCUCUUCACCCUCCAUUCCUCAGUGGUAGAAGAUAUUCUGCAUACCUAGACAGUUGAGUGAACUUCAGAUCAUACUCCUCCACUGUCAUGCUCCCUUGAGAUAGCCUCUCAAACUCAUAAAGUCGAGCAUCCCUGAUGCUCUGAGGGAGAAACCUGUCUAAGAACAUGGAGCUAAACUCCUUCCAUGUCCACUGAGCCUCUACUGGUCUUGCUCUUUCCCUAGACUCAAACCAAGAGAUUGCCACAUCUCCUUCCAACCUGAACGAUGCCAAACUCACAGCUCGGUGGUCUGUACAUCCCAAAGCUUUACAUCGUCGCCAAAUGUCAUCUAGGAACUUUUGAGGAUCCUCUGAACUGUCUAUCCCAGUAAAAAUAGGAGGUGCCAACUUCAUAAAGUCAUCCAAUGGCACAUUAACUCCCUGAACAGUGUGGGAUGUCGAGGGUACAUCUCUAUCCCUCAUUCUGUCUCUCUCCAUAGUAAACUCUAUCCAAGUCUGCACAACCUGGCUAAGUCGCUGAACCUCUGUAACAGGCUCAGGGUCAGCUACCCCCACACCUGUUUCAUCAACCAUAUCUUCCUCUUCUAUCUCCUGAGGCUCUUCCUCCACUGGUGGAGGUACCUCAUCAACAUGUUGAGGCACAGAUGCACCACGCCUCCUUCUCUGCCUUGCAGUUAUCAACUGCAUAAUAGCUCUUCCUCCACUGGUGGAGGUACCUCAUCAACAUGUUGAGGCACAGAUGCACCACGCCUCCUUCUCUGCCUUGCAGUUAUCAACUGCAUAAUAGGGACAUCAUCCUGAUCAUCAUCUACCCUAAGAGUAUCAGUUCUUCGUCUAUUCCUCGGCAUUUCCUAAAAUAAAAGAGAGAUCACUUAAGUCAUGCUAGAACAAUAGCAUGAUAAUUAUCUCAGAAUUAUAGGAAAGCAUAUCUAUCACAAGGAAGAAGACAUACUUGAUGAGAAUUUAAAAUUUCAAAAACAACAAACAAGACGAUACGGAUCCUAAUGCUCCACUUAUUAUGAAAUUAAUUAUAUUAUUGUUUCUUUAACCUAAAGCUCUGAUACCAAGUUUGUCACGACCCGAAUCCCGGAUCCAUGACCGGCACAUAGGCAAGGUUCCCCUCCAAGGUUCCAAACCUAUGCGAACCCAAACUUACAUACAAUCCUUUAAACAACUCAAUCAGAGUUUAACGCAGAAUUAACAACAAACAACUUCAUAAUAUAAUGUAAUUGUCUUAAUACAAGAGUUAAUAAUUUCAUAGUUUUGGAGCACUAACUUGACACAAAAGGAAGAUACAAAUUACAACCAAAAGGCAGGUUCGGAAGGUUCAACAAAAGUAACCUGCUAUCAAGCUAUAAGCCUGAAAAGGAUAAAUAAUGAGAGGGUGAGUUCAACAACUCAGUGAGUAGAUAACAUUCAAUAUACACAUACGAGGUAAUAUAACAAUGAGAAAUAUAUAUACAAGUAUGGCUUUAGUUCUUAUACGAAGGUUUAUCAAAUAGGCCAUAACAAGAAUAUCAUAUGGUAAAACUCGUCAGAAAAUCAAAAUGCAAUGAGCAUGAGGCUCCGUACUGUGGAUGAUCAGUCCACACAGGUUGGUGACUCCCCCGACCAACUAGGGUUCAGAUACGAUGUGCACAAAGACUAACACUACCCUGUUAGCAUGGGUAUUCUGACUGACAUACCAUAGGUUCAUAAUCAUAAUCAAACAAACAUAUUCAUAUCUCAAAGCUCAACUCAUGACAUCCAUCAAAUGAGGAGCUAUCAAUUCAGAAGUCAAAUCAUAUUGGUUCAUAUCAAGAAAUCAGAUUCAAUAAUUGAUCAUGCUUUAUCAUAUCAAGGAUAAUAAUCAGCAUAUAUAUUAUCAAGAAGCAUGAUCCAAUUCAUAUUAACAAAUCAAAUAUUUAUAAUAUUUCUCAUGCAUAUGGAAAAUUAUCCACUCACCUGACUCAAAAGCAAACAACACACAAGCUGAAACCGAAGGAAAUUCUACUGACGUCCUGCCGGUAGAAUAUCAGGAUUAUCUGAAUACAAAGGAGACAUAUUCAAAAACGACUCGAAAGAACAUUUAAUCUAUUUAAUACACUUAACUAAGGGUGUAUUCCGUAACCCUAUAUACUAACUAGUCAAUUUUCUUAAAAACCCAAAAUCUAACGGUUUUCCCGAAAUCUAAUCCAUAAUAAAAACAACUAAUAAAAUUGGUAAUAAUUCACUAAAUAACCCUUAAUUAUUCAUCAAACUAAUCUGCAAAAGCUAAUAUUACAGCUAGGGACUAAUCUGGAAUUUUUCUAUAUUUUUAGGGCCAAAUUGUAACUUUUAUCAAAUGGAGGACCAAACUGAAAUUUGUCAUAAAUCCAUGAAUAUACUGAAAUUCUGACCUUAAUUAAUCCUCAAUUCUGUCCAGGAUGUAUCAUUAUGCUUUAGGGAUCAUUCUGGAGUUUUACUAAAUUUUUAGGAUCAAAUCGUACUUUUUGUCAAAUUGGAGGACUAAAUUGAAAGUGUUAAAUUCUCUUAUCUAUACAGUAAUUAUGUCCAUAAUUCAUAUGUUAUUCUGUUCAGAAUCUCGGAAUAUGCUCCAGGGACCAAUUUGUAAUUUUCCAAAGUUCGGGGACUAAACUGUAAUUUUCGGAAAUUGAGGGACCAAAUUGAAUUUUCGUCAUCUUCAACCUCCAGUCCAGAUUUUAACAGAAACCCCACUGUUCUCCCCUGAUUUCUAACUCAAUUUUCACCAUUUACACAAUUCUAUAACUCAAAAUCAUCAUAAUCUUCCAUAAUCAACUAAAUCAUCAAUUAAACACAACAAUCAACCCCUAACCUUCAAUUUAAUUCAUCAAUUUAAAUCAAACACAAAUUCUCAAAACCCUAACAUUCAUAAAAACUGAAAUUAAAAACUUAAUUAACAUAUUAUACACAUUAAACAACCUAAAUCUUACCUUUUUCACUUAUUUCCUCCAAUUCUCUUCCUUUUUCCCCUUAUUUUCCCCUAUUUUCUCUUCUUCUUCUUUCCUUUCUCACUUCUGCCGAUUCUCUUC